UACGUAGGGAGCUAGCGUUGUCCGGAAUCAUUGGGCGUAAAGCGCGCGUAGGCGGCCCGGUAAGUCCGCUGUGAAAGUCAAAGGCUCCAACCUUUGAAUGUCAGCGGAUACUGCCGGGCUAGAGUCCGGAAGAGGCGAGUGGAACUCCUGGUGUAGCGGUGGAAUGCGCAGAUAUCAGGAAGAACACCAACGGCGAAGGCAGCUCGCUGGGACGGAACUGACGCUAAGGCGCGAAAGCGUGGGGAGCGAACAGG
rnacentral:rRNA from 1 species